rnacentral:lncRNA from 1 species
GCUUCUCUCUGAUGGAACACACAUGAGGAGAUAUGAGAUCCCAGGUAUGCUGUAAAGAAGAACCUCAUCCUGCCAGCCCCACCAGCUAAAGGGGAGAUGUCAGGUCCUCUGAGCCAGCCCCGCAGCCCACCCCUUCACAGACACACUGAUGGCACUCACCUCAGGGAGUCACCAUUUCUACCAUUUAUUGAGCACCUACUCUGUGCCAGACACUAAGCAGAGGGCUGCAGACUCAGCACUCCAAUCAACUCAUCUCAACCACAACUCUUUGAGGCAGGGACUAUUAUUGUCCCCAUUUUGCAGCUAUGAAAGCAGAGGUCUCCAAGCUUACCAAGAAUGUGACUCUACUGACUCCAGAAGUCUGUGCUCCACCGUGCCAUUCCCAGCCAUGGGCAUGGCCUGAGGUCAGCUAAGAAGAAGGGAGCACAGUCACUGUUCUCAAAGACCUUAUGAAUUUGGGGUGUAUAUCUUUCAAAAAGAGAGACUAUCUCAGAUGUCACACAGAAAAGGAGCCUGAAGCUCAGAAGGAAUGGCUUGGGGCUGCGACUCACAGCUGGCCAGCCAGAGACUCAGGACAGGCCCUACCCAUCCAUCCCCUCAUUCCACAAGCAUUGGCUUUCCACCCCAGUGUCCACUGGGUCUCACACAUAGAAGGUCUCAGUUCCAUUACCACCACCCUCAUCACCUCCAUUGUCAACACCUCAGCUAUUUCCACCAUGUCGAUACAAUCAUGGCCCAACCUUUGUUAACGCCAUCACCAACAUCACCUUCACCACUACCUCUACCACCACCCUAACAUUUCUAGCACCACCCUGCCCAUCAUGACCUCCAAUUCCACCACCACUGCCAUCAUAACUGUCACCAUCAUCACCUGCAUCACCUCCAGCAUGCCAGUACGACCUUGGCCAAGAGUUUGUCAUUGAUGUGCCUAAGAGCGAUAAGACAGAGGUGGACAUUGAGCUGCAAAACAACAAGAUGAGGAAUGGAGAAAAAUGUUCACAAAAGUUUUGAGCCAGUGCUUCUCUACCAACAUACAUAUUCUAGAUCCUGGCUUGGGAUGGGGUGUCAUGAAGAUGAAUGAGACAAGCCUCCCCGCUCGUUAAGGGAAGUCAAUAUAAAACAGUACGUGUAAAAGAAGGGAGAAGUAACGUUGGGUCUCUCCAGUGGGGAAGAAACUUCAGAAAAAAGAGCAAGCUUUCUUUCACUGCAUUUGUUCAAGACCAGGUCUACACCACGUAAGCAAUCUACUACAUACGUGAGCUGUAGAUUCUAAAGCAACACCGUCCACUGGAACUUUCUGCAGUGAUGGAAAUAUCCCAUGCCUGUACUGUCUGACACAUGUGUGGCUACUGAGUACCUGAAAUGCAUCUAGUGCAACUAAAGAACUGAGUGUUUAAAUUUUUUAAGUUUUUAUUCAUUUAAAUUUAAAUAGCCACAUGUGUCUCAUGGCUACUGCAUCAGACAGGGCAGCCUUAAAGUUUCUAGAAGAAUAAGAGUGAGAAAUGCUGCCAACACGCAGUAGUCACUUGGCUGUCACCAGAGGAAGAGAUUUCUGAGGAUUGAGGCUAGUCAAAGAUAGAAUGUUAGCACUGAGGAACUUCUAGACAUCAAGCCAAGAUUGGGGUCAAGCUGACCUCACCCACCCAGGACAAUCAUGGACCAUCUGAUUUCCCCAGAAGCCCAGGACAGCGGUUACCCCUGAAAUCACCACUGAACCAAGUUUGGGGUGGCCUGAAUUGUCUUUGUUUGGGGCUGUUUGUUUUGAGUGGUGUCAUUAUUUUAUUUUUAAAUUACCUAUAAUGCGCCCUUUAAAAAUUCCCUAAUUACAGAUAGGA